GACGAACCGUGCGAACGUUGUUCGGAAUCACUGGGCUUAAAGGGCGCGUAGGCGGACUUGCAAGUCUGCGGUGAAAGCCCCCAGCUUAACUGGGGAAGUGCCGUGGAUACUGCGGGUCUUGAGGAGGGUAGGGGCAUCUGGAACAUUGGGUGGAGCGGUGAAAUGCGUUGAUAUCCAAUGGAACUCCGGUGGCGAAGGCGAGGUGCUGGACCCUUUCUGACGCUGAGGCGCGAAAGCCAGGGGAGCAAACGGG
rnacentral:rRNA from 1 species